rnacentral:misc_RNA from 2 species
AACGCACAUUGCGCCCCUUGGUAUUCCGAGGGGCAUGCCUGUUCGAGCGUCAUUACACCAAUCAAGCACAGCUUGGCAUUGGGCGGUCGUCCCCCCUCCGCGGGGGGGCGUGCCCCAAAUCUUUCGGCGGAGUCCCCAGGGCUUUGGGCGUAGUAGAAUCUUCAAAACGUCCUACGAGCCCCGGGGGUCUUUUGCCGGCGAACACCACACCUUCUCAGUUUGACCUCGGAUCAGGUAGGGAUACCCGCUGAACUUAA